UUCCUUCAGUUCUCACUCAUUCACAGUAAAGAUGACAGCACACGCUCUCAUUAUCUGCUCUCUUCUGCUUUUCACUGCUGAGUGUGAUGGACAGAUCACAGUCACUCAGAGUCCCUCAAUAACAGCUCAACCAGGACAACAAGUUCAAAUAAACUGUAAAACCAGCAGUGAUGUCUACUGGGAUAGUACUUAUGGCUCCCGCUUAGCCUGGUACUUACAGAAACCUGGAGAAGCUCCUAAACUCCUCAUUUAUCUGACUGAUAAACUGCAGUCAGGAACUCCAUCUAGAUUCAGUGGCAGUGGAUCUAAAAGUGAUUUCACUCUGACCAUCAGUGGAGUCCAGACUGAAGAUGCAGGACAUUAUUACUGUCAGAGUUAUCAUUACAUCAACAGUAAAGAUGUGUUCACACAGUGA